UACAGAGGUCCCGAGCGUUGUUCGGAUUCACUGGGCGUAAAGGGUGCGUAGGUGGCAUGGAAAGUUUGAUGUGAAAGCUCAGGACUUAACCCUGAAAUGGCAUUGAAUACUGCUGUGCUGGAGGUUUGGAGGGGGGACUGGAAUUCUUGGUGUAGCAGUGAAAUGCGUAGAUAUCAAGAGGAACACCAGUGGCGAAGGCGAGUCCCUGGACAACACCUGACACUGAGGCACGAAAGCUAGGGGAGCAAACAGG
rnacentral:rRNA from 1 species